UUUUAGUACAACACGAUGCAUAUUCGUCGGUUGUACGGUUUUGUGCCGUGUGCUGCUGGCUUACUGACCGAAACAGACGGUUGGCAUUACCCGGUUCGGAAGAUGCCAACAGAUGGGAAGUAGUGACAAAAAAAAGAAGCUGAAUGCAUCGUUUCGCUUCAAAUCAGUGUCUUUAGAUGGUGAUCAAUUUCUGUGAUAAAUGAAUGUUAAUAGUGCUGGUUAAAUAGAGUCCUCAUAGACAAUUUCGUGUUAAUUAAAGAGUGCUGUGUUAUCCAAUUUAUAUGCCAAGGACGUCUUCCACAGUAAAGCAAAUCGAUUAAUUACCGGUAAAACAGUAGCAGAUACAGUGUUGGUACAUCUCUGUGGCAAAAGCGUGUAAAGAGGAACCGAAAAGCUCAUUCACCCUUAAAAACAUGGGAAAUGAGGCCGACCUUCUCAACAUUAAACACCAGAGCUGCAAGCAACAGCGUUGCUGGUUCAAUUUGAUUUGUUAUCGAAUGCGAAAGAAACAUUGUCGGUAAUUUGGUAGCAAUUAGCUGCUGAUGUACUUCGAAAAUUGGUGUUGCUCUUCGCCCAUCUAAAUCACCUUUCAUGUUUGCAAUCAAUUUUCCCGUGGCGUGUUCGCCAUGCUGGGAGCUGUCUCGCCCGAUUCCUUCGACACGCUGCACUCGUACAGCAACACCUUCCAGAUGCCGUUCGUGACGCCCUGGUUCCCGGAGAAGGUGCUCACCCCGUCGUCCGGCUUCCUCGACUUUGCCAUCAGCAUGCGGCCCGACUACUAUCAGGCCAUCAUCGAUACGGUGCGGUACUACGGCUGGGAUCGGAUCAUCUACAUGUACGACUCGCACGACGGUCUGCUGCGGCUGCAACAGAUCUACCAGGGACUGCGGCCAGGCAACGAAACCUUUCACGUCGAGACGGUCAAGCGGAUAGCGAACGUGAGCGAUGCGAUAGAGUUCCUGCGCACCAUCGAGGAGCUGAACCGGUGGUCCCGGAAGCACAUCGUCCUCGACUGUAGUACCGAGCUGGCCAAGGACAUCGUGGUCAGUCACGUCCGGGACAUCACGCUCGGCAAGCGGACCUACCACUAUCUGUUGAGUGGGUUGGUGAUGGAUGAUCGCUGGGAGAGCGAAGUUAUCGAGUACGGGGCAAUCAAUAUCACCGGCUUCCGAAUCGUCGAUACGAGCAAAAAGUACGUCAAGGAGUUUCUUGAUGGAUGGAAGCGAUUAGAUCCGACCACAUCGCAGGGCGCCGGCAAGGAACUGAUCUCGGCCCAGGCUGCCCUCAUGUACGACGCCGUGUUCGUGCUGGUGGAAGCGUUCUCCAAGAUUAUGCGCAAAAAGCCGGACCAGUUCCGGGCGUACACGAUGCGCAAUCGAGGCCAACCGUUCAACCUGCCCACCAACGGAACGCGAACGCUGGACUGCAACACAUCCAAGGGCUGGGUGACUCCGUGGGAGCAUGGCGAUAAAAUUUCACGCUACCUGCGCAAGGUGGAAAUAUCGGGCCUUACCGGUGAUAUCAGAUUCAACGAAGACGGCAAACGCCAGAACUACACGCUGCACGUGGUCGAGAUGACGGUCAACAGUGCGAUGGUGAAGGUGGCCGAGUGGUCGGACGAAGGUGGACUGGCGCCGGUCGUCGCCAAGUACACCCGGCUCAAGACGGACAUGCAUUACGAGCGGAACAAGACCUACAUCGUGACGACCAUCAUCGAGGAGCCGUACAUCAUGCUGCGACAGCCCGAGCCGGGCGAGACGCUCGAGACGAACGAACGGUUCGAGGGCUACUGCAAGGAUCUGGCCGAGCUGGUGGCGAAAAAACUCGGCAUCAACUACGAGCUGCGGAUAGUGAAGGAUGGUCAGUACGGUUCGGAAAACCCCGACGUCAAGGGUGGCUGGGACGGGAUGGUGGGUGAGCUGGUGCGGAAGGAGGCCGACUUUGCCAUCGCUCCCAUGACCAUCACGUCCGAGCGGGAGCGCGUCAUCGAUUUUACCAAACCGUUCAUGUCACUCGGCAUCUCCAUCAUGAUCAAACGGCCGGUCAAGCAGAAGCCGAGCGUGUUUAGCUUCCUCAAUCCACUGUCCAAAGAGAUCUGGAUCUUUAAAAUAAAUUUGCUUCAAAGCGACUGGAGCUACCUCAGAGAGCUACCGUAAAUCCAGGAGGCACUCGAGGCUUUUUCAUAUAAAUCGAUUUUUCUACACUCUCGAUUCUUUAAAAUAUGGUUCAGAGGCCCAUUCAAACGUUGAGAUAAUUUUUUACCUACGGUUUUCUCAUUUCACGUCAAAGGGCCAACCAAAGUUCCAUGUAGUUGUGCAGCUGCAUAUAGUUUUUCCAUAUAAUCACUUGAUUUACAAUUUCAAUGUUAAAUAAAAUUUGAAGGCAAAAUAUGCCAACCGAUUACUUUUAAAGUUAACAAAUUCGUUCAUCCUUGCAUGAAAACAAAAUCCGAGAUAAGCCAAAAGCGAUGAAAAAUGGAAACCAAUCAGUACGCGUCCCCGAAAGGAACGAAAGAAAACACCCAAACACGGUAAUCAAUCUGUAAACAGUUUGGAGCUCUUUUUACCAUCGUUCGUUGAUUAUGUUUUUCAUUAACGGUUGUGGUUUCGGUUCAGUUUUUCCUUUUUCGGUGCUAUAUUCGG